rnacentral:rRNA from 1 species
UACGAAGGGUGCAAGCGUUAAUCGGAAUUACUGGGCGUAAAGSGUGCGUAGGCGGUURUUUAAGUCUGUUGUGAAAUCCCCGGGCUCAACCUGGGAAUGGCAAUGGAUACUGGAYAGCUAGAGUGUGWYAGAGGAUGGUGGAAUUYCCGGUGUAGCGGUGAAAUGCGUAGAGAUCGGRAGGAACAUCAGUGGCGAAGGCGGCCAUCUGGRWCAACACUGACGCUGARGCACGAAAGYGUGGGGAGCAAACAGGAUUAGAUACCCUGGUAGUCCACGCCCUAAACGAUGCGAACUGGAUGUUGGUCUCAACUCGGAGAUCAGUGUCGAAGCUAACGCGUUAAGUUCGCCGCCUGGGGAGUACGGUCGCAAGACUGAAACUCAAAG